AAAGUACUCCCUCCGUCUGAAAAUUCUUGUCUUAGAUUUGUCUAGAUACGGAUGUAUCAAGUCACAUUUUAGUAUUAGAUACAUCCGUAUCUAGACAAAUCUAAGACAAGAAAUUUGGGACAGAGGGAGUAGUUG
rnacentral:pre_miRNA from 1 species